UUUAAUCACGUGAAAUUUUUCUUCAAAAUAAUCUUAAUGGUGAUGCUUACCGUAAAUCUGGCACGAAAAUGGUGUUAUGGUGAAUCAAGUGUGGAAAUAGUGUUUUAAUAAGGUGUUAGUGAAUAUUCGCUUUUAUCUGUGGAUGUUUCUAUGACCCCAUAAAAAUUCUCCUAUAUUAUACUAUUGCAUAAUUUUGGAUGCUUAUUUUACGGGUCUUUUGGAGUGGUGAUACUUACAAACUGAUUUACAUUUUCAAAAAUAAUUAGUUCUAAAAAAAUAUACAAUCAUAUGUCGCUUACAGGUACUAAUAGAUAAUUUUAACCUGGCAUAUCGCAGUAUCUCCAGGACUAAUUUUUGAUUAGGCAACUAAAGCUCAUUGGAAGACAUAAUGAUAAGUAAAAUACUAAUUUACAACUAAUUUUUGAAAACACAAUUGACAAAUUACGCUAAUUGCUGUUGUAGCCACUGGAACAUCUUUACUUCUGUUUUUCAAAUUUAUUCCCAGUCCUACGAGAAAAAUGAUAAAGUAUUGUUUUUAUAUAUUUAAUCAAUGCUAUACUGACCUUUUAUUGAAUUAAUAAAGAGUGCAAUGUAUAUUUUCAGAAAAGUAAUCAAUAAGAUUAUAUUUACUUUAACAACGAAUAUGGCUUUGUCAAAAAAUGACAAAAAUGCUAUAAUCCUUCUGGAAAAAAAAUUGAACAAAUCUCCAUUGUCAAAUUAUGGAAUUGAUGUCGUCCCACCGAAGCCUCAUGACCCCCCUGUUAAGUGUCAGUGGUGUGAUAAUACUGAAUCGAAGAAACGUUUUAAAGUUUGCCUGCGAUGUGUACAACUCGGGGUCAAGAAAAACAACCCAUUUCUUCAUUAUUAUUGCUGCAAAGCGUGCCAGAUAGCGCAAUGGAAACUCUGCCACAGAAUGGAGCACUAUGUUAUUGAAUCUUUGCAUCCACAACGACCUAUUGACCCCA